CGUCAGUUUCACAGCUAUUUACACCUUGAGCUUCAGGAAGGAACAUACGCAUUUGGAUACCCACUGGAGAUGUGAGGAGGGCGGGGAGUCCCCAGCCCUGUGCCUCCUGGAAAUCACGACAGCUGUCACUGGGGCUCAGCUCUCUCCCUCCAGGAAGCGGAGAUGAAACUCUCCCCGACAGCAGCUCCCUGGGGGAAGCCAGCUGCAAGGGAGGGAGAAGAAGCCUUGGUUCCAUUACAUAUCCAGAAACAAGACAAUAAUCCAGGGAGGUUCCAGAUACGGAGGCGUAGGGAAGAAGAGGUGGGGAAGUUGGGAGGGCUUUUUAUAUCUUGAAGGUGCUGGGAAGAGAUGGACUCAUAUUUAUGAGCAUCUGCAAUGUGCUAGACACAGGGUUUGGCUCUUCAAAUAAGUUAUUGUAUUUAAUGUUCACAGCAAGUGUAUGAGGUAGGAAUUACAAUUCUCAUUUAAGAGAUGAGGCUAAAUAACUUGCCCCAAAUCACCCAACUAGGAGGUUGUCGACCUAAGCUUUGAUUCCACUCUGUCUGAUUCCAAAGCUGCAGCUCUUUUCUUUCCAUUUGAGGGGAUGAUGAGGGUCUGAAUUCUGCCGUCAGCAACACUGAAGAGGCAUCCUCCCUCCCAACAGAAGACUCUUAAUUUAGUUUCACCUCAUUUGGAAGCUUCUCCAUCCACUUCAUCAUUCUAAUUGCUUUAAUAUGACAAAUUGACCAAUUACUAGCAGGUUAUUUAUAACCAUGGUGGAAUUAGUUGCUUAGUUCAAUCAAGCAACCAAAAAGUAACUGAAUUGUAAUGACUCGAUUGAUCAAACUGUUCCAAAUGGUUGGCGUGCACAUAUAUAACUCAUAUUAGAGUUAGACCAAUAUAUGCAACAGAAUAGUGGGGGAGUAUUUGACUAUUCACAAAUGACAGCUGAACCAAAAUAAUUCUAAUCCCAGCUCUAUAGCCAAGUGGACAAGUCUUAACUUUGAACACUAAAAGAUGUUCUAGAGAAAGUUCUGGGCUCUUUUUUGUUGAUAGAGAAACUGAAGCCUAGAAAGCAUAAGGGAUUUGCCAAGGUCUCCCAGCCAGAAAAUGCCGGAGCUUAGACUUGAACUAUUUGUAUUGUUUUGAUGCUGUUUUCCUACCAUGCCUGCUGCACCAUGACAUGGAGUCACUUAGCCUCUUGAAUCCUCAAUUAUUUUGUCUACAACAUGAAAGGAUUGGUGGAUGUAUCAGUUAACUUUUGCUGUGUAAGAAACCACCCAGAACCUAGCAGCCUAAAAUAACGGCCAUUUUAUGGAGCUUAUGAUUCUGUGGUU
rnacentral:lncRNA from 1 species